rnacentral:rRNA from 1 species
CCCUUAGAUGUCCUGGGCUGCACGCGCGCUACACUGAUGUGUCCAGUAAGCACCUAACCUCUUCCGAAAGGAACGGGUAACCUUUGCAAAGCACAUCGUGAUGGGGAUAGAUUAUUGCAAUUAUUAGUCUUGAACGAGGAAUUCCUAGUAAGCACAAGUCAUCAGCUUGUGUUGAUUACGUCCCUGCCCUUUGUACACACCGCCCGUCGCUCCUACCGAUUGAAUGUUCCGGUGAGCUCUUCGGACUGCGCGGUCUGCAGUUUCUGCGUUCCGUGCGGAAAGUUGCGCAAACCUUAACAUUUAGAGGAAGAAGAAGUCGUAACA